rnacentral:pre_miRNA from 1 species
UUUAAGUGCAGCCAUGGUUUUCCGCGCACAACUUUGAUCGUCCGUCUUAUUUAAAAAAAUUUAAAAUAUAAGUCACGAGUAAAAUAUUGUUCAUGUUUUAUCAUCUUAUAACAACAAAAAUACUAAUUAUAAAAAAAAUUCAAAUAAGACGGACGAUCAAAGUUAGGCACGGAAACUUAUAGUUGCACUUAAA